AGCUGAACAACAUAACAGCCGGAAUUCCAGCCUCCCUUUCAGCUUUAUGUGGCCACACAACGAAACCGUGGCCAAAGGGAUGUGCGUAAAAGUAACGUAGGCAACUUAUGGAUCAAGGCUGGUAGAAAAGAUGAGGAAGUGAAGGCACCGGGCCGCUGAGCGUCUCGCCAAGUAUUCCUUCCGGUGCAACGGGGGCUCGGCCCCUCCCCUCCAGGUGUCCAGCGCAGGCUUCCUCCUGUGACAACCACGCGCAUUUCUCCCAUCCUAUCGCGAUCCAUUACGGUUCCUGCUACUGAUCUCUCUGGGAGCUCAGAUCUGUCUUCAGUCGGGAACUCACAAAGCCUUGUUGUCAGUGGUGUGGAAGAAAUUCAGUUAGAAGCGUCCCCAAGUACAUCCCUGGACCCAUCCUUGGCGGGCAAGAGGAUGAGUUC